AGCCUGGCAAGGAGAAGGGAUUCUCUCUCACUCUUUGGCCAAGAAUUCCCCUGAAACAGGAGGUGGCUCCAGAGAACUAAAACCGGAAACAGCUACAGUGCUUUCCUGAUCUUCAAGCUCAGGAAAAUAGGUCACUGUUAUAACUACUGAUUCGGUGAGAAAGAGAGGCUGGGUGAGAUGCAAAAUCAAAGAGAAAAAUGCACGAUCCGAACAACUGAGCUGCACUGAUGACAGGCGGAAAAGGAGGCCACAGGAGGGGAUGCCGAGGAGUGAGAGCAAUCGAGGCGACGUCCCAGCAGAGGCAUUUCCACUGAAAGGAGAAGAUGAGCUGAAAGUCGAGAAGGUUGGACCCAGCUUGUCCCCAGGGAAACGCACACCUCCAUCUGUCCCUGAGAGUGACUUAUUCACCACAAAUAUAAAGGUCUGACUCAUGGAGGACAAUGCAUCAAGACGAAGAGAGUCCAUCUCUCUCAGAUCCAUGGCCAACGGUCUGGAGAACGCAGGGGCCGAGUUCUUGGAAAACCUGGAGGAAGGCCGGACCCCUGGCAGUGACUGGAGUCCUGCAGUGGAUGGAAGGAGCGAGGCCGGUCCGGAGCCCUCUGCAGGAUGGAGGAUCCUGCAGCCGGCCCUGGGAGUGAGACGCUUCUGCAGGGAGCACGUGCGGCUGUGGAGGUGGAUCUGCAUAGGCCUGCUCUGUACUGCAUUCGCUGCCUUCCUGCUGAUUGCCUGUCUCCUGGAUUUCCAGAGGGCCCUGGCACUGUUUGUCCUCACCUGUGUGGUCCUUGUCUUCCUGGCCCACAGCCUGCUAAAGAGGCUGCUGGGGCCGAAGCUGUGGAGGCGUGUCAAGCCUCUGGGGCAUUCCCGCCUGAACCUCUGGCUUAAGAGGGGUCUAGCCCUCGCUGCUUUCCUGGGCCUGGGCCUGUGGCUGGUUCUGGACACCUCCCGGCGGCCGGAGCAGCUGGUGUCCUUUGCAGGAAUCUGCGUGUUCAUUGGCCUCCUCUUCGCCUGCUCCAAGCAUCACCGUGCAGUGUCCUGGCGGGCCGUGUCCUGGGGCCUUGGGCUACAAUUCAUACUAGGACUCUUCGUCAUCAGAACAGAACCAGGAUUUACUGCGUUCCAGUGGCUGGGCGACCAGAUCCAGAUCUUCCUGCGCUACACCGAGGCCGGCUCCAGCUUCGUGUUUGGGGACACUCUCGUCAAGGAUGUCUUCGCCUUUCAGGUCCUGCCCAUCAUCAUCUUCUUCAGCUGCAUCAUGUCAGUUCUCUACUACGUGGGCCUCAUGCAGUGGGUGAUCCUGAAGAUCGCCUGGCUGAUGCAGGUCACCAUGGGCACCACGGCCACCGAGACCCUGAGUGUGGCUGGAAACAUCUUUGUGAGCCAGACUGAGGCUCCUCUACUGAUCCGGCCCUACCUGGCAGACAUGACACUCUCAGAAAUCCAUGUCGUCAUGACUGGAGGCUACGCCACCAUCGCCGGCAGCCUACUGGGCGCCUACAUCUCCUUUGGGAUCGACGCUGCCUCCUUGAUUGCCGCCUCCGUGAUGGCCGCCCCUUGUGCUUUAGCCCUGUCCAAGCUGGUCUACCCCGAGGUGGAGGAGUCCAAGUUUAGGAGUGAGGAAGGCGUGAAACUGACCUACGGAGAAGCUCAGAACCUCUUAGAAGCAGCCAGCAGUGGGGCCGCCAUCUCGGUGAGGGUCAUCGCUAACAUCGCAGCCAACCUGAUCGCCUUCCUGGCCGUGCUGGCCUUCAUCAACGCCGCCCUCUCCUGGCUGGGAGACAUGGUGGACGUCCAGGGGCUCAGCUUCCAGCUCAUCUGCUCCUACAUCCUGCGGCCUGUGGCCUUCUUAAUGGGCGUGGCCUGGGAGGACUGCCCAGUGGUGGCUGAGCUGCUGGGAAUCAAGCUGUUCCUGAACGAGUUUGUGGCCUAUCAGGAGCUGUCCCGGUACAAGCAGCGCCGCCUGGCAGGGGCUGAAGAGUGGGUCGGCGCCAAGAAGCAGUGGAUCUCUGUCAGAGCGGAAAUCCUCACAACGUUCGCCCUCUGCGGAUUUGCCAACUUCAGCUCCAUUGGGAUCAUGCUGGGAGGCCUGACCUCCAUGGUCCCCCAAAGGAAGAGCGACUUCUCCCAGAUCGUGCUCCGGGCGCUCUGCACGGGCGCCUGCGUGUCCCUAGUGAAUGCCUGCGUGGCAGGGAUCCUCUAUGUGCCCAGGGGGGCUGAGGUCAACUGCACGGCCCUCCUGAACACGAUCCUCAGCAGCAGCAGCUUUGAGGUGUACCAGUGCUGCCGUGAUGCCUUCCAGAGCACCAGCCCGGAGUUCAGCCCCGAGGCCUUAGACAACUGCUGUCGAUUUUACAACCACACGACGUGUGCAUAACGCAGACAGAACCAGAACUCUGUGCCUCCCCAGGAAGCAGCCGUCCCGCCUUUCCCUCUCCAGGCCUCUCCUCCCAGAAGCCACAGGGCUCCAACCUACCUCAGCCGCACAACUGGAGGGGGGGGGAUGGGAGGGAUGGGCAAAGACUGAGCAGAUGUGUGAGUAGAUGAAGGCUGCCCCCCACCCCUCGCCCCUUCUGCUCCCCCAUGUCCUUCCUCCCACAGUGUGGAUUCUCAGUGUCACCUCUGUCCCCUCCUCUCUCCCCUCCACAUCCAGACAGUACCCUGGUCUUCUCUAUGACCGGCCUUGGGUCUCAUUUGCACCCUUCCCUUCACCCCAGCAUUUCAGUUGCCUCCUUCUGGGUGGGCGCUCGAGUCCCCCAUGGUCACCCUGCCAGACAGGUGUUUUCUCCCAGCGGCCCCUCCUCCUACAUUCAGAGACUCCCCCACUGCCUUCCCCACAGCUCUUCCCAAAUCAGUGUCCAGUGGAACGCUGUCCCACAGGAGUUCAGCAAGGCGAGACAGAAAUUUAUUUUCUCGCAGUUCUGGAGGCUGGAAAUCCAAGAUCGGGGCGCCAGCAUGGUCAGUUUCUGGUGACAACUCUCUUCCUGGCUUUCAGAUGGCCACUUCACCGUGUCCUCCCUCACAAGUGGAGUUUUGAGAGAAAACAGGAGUAAAAGCGUGUGCUCAAUGCACCACGUUUACCCAGCAGUUCCCGAGUCUGCUUGGCAGGGGCGGAAGAGCAGAGUGGAGCGAGAGCAAGGCCUCUGGAGCCAGGCAGACCUGUGGCUGAGUUCCGCCUCCACUUCUGCACAUCCCUGUGUGAUUUUGGACAAGAUCAUCAGCCUCUCUGAGCCUCAGAUCUCUCGUCUGUAAAAUGAGAUUAAUAUCGCCUCCUAACUCACAGAGGCACCAUGAGCGCGAGCUCUGAUGCUGCCGGGAUUUUCACCUGGGCCUGUUUGAUGCGAGGCCGUGCUCCGAACCAGCAAACCAGCGAACCAGCCUGCCUGCCUAGAGAACAGCACGGACUAGAGAAGGCUCCUUCUCCAGCAGGGCUCUCAGGACGAAGAAAAUGCACAGACAGAGCAGCCCCCACUGGCUGACUGUGAGUGGGACAUGAAUCUUGAUGGUCAUCAGCCACCAAGAUUCUGAGUUUGUUACUGCAGCAUGGUUAGUGAAAGCUGACAACACUGCAGCAGCUGGGUGGUCCAGGUACUCCAGGAAGAUGUCUGCUGAGGGAACUCAAGCCAGAGGAAGUCCUCAGGUAGCGUCAGCAGGACAGGCUGGGCUGAGGAUCACAGGACAGCCGGAAGUGGCAUUGCUAAAGGGAAAUUUUAACUGCAGCCAAGCACAAAAAGAAAGGUCACAGUGGAGUAAAGCCACCUCUGCGUGAG